GCUGAAAUAGCUCAGUUGGGAGAGCAUUUUACUGAAGAUCUAAAGAUCCCUGGUUCGAUCCCGGUUUUUGGCA
rnacentral:tRNA from 1 species